rnacentral:misc_RNA from 1 species
UAUUGUUGUUCCACCUUUAGGAUUG